rnacentral:rRNA from 1 species
ACAGAGGGUGCAAGCGUUGUUCGGAAUCACUGGGCGUAAAGCGCGCGCAGGCGGAAGUGCAAGUCUGGAGUGAAAUCUCGCCGCUCAACGGCGAGGCUGCUUUGGAAACUGCACCUCUAGGGAUUGGUAGAGGCUGGUAGAAUUGCAGGUGUAGCGGUGGAAUGCGUAGAGAUCUGCAAGAAUACCCGUGGCGAAGGCGGCCAGCUGGGCCAAAUCCGACGCUGAGGCGCGAAGGCCAGGGGAGCAAACGGGA